AACAAGGUCACCUAGGCCUUGCUAGGUGCCCCUGACGAGGUGGGGCCGGGACGGGUGGGAGGUGUUAACGCGUGGGAACAUUGCCUAUUAGUUGGGGACAACCUGUGGAAACGCGGGCUAAUACCGAAUACGUUCUUUGGAAUAAAGGUUGCCUCUCCUUGGAAGCAAUCGCUGAUAGAUUGGCCCGCGUUGGAUUAGCUAGUUGGUAGGGUAAAGGCCUACCAAGGCGACGAUCCAUAGCUGGUUUGAGAGGAUGAUCAGCCACACUGGGACUGAGACACGGCCCAGACUCCUACGGGAGGCAGCAGUGGGGAAUAUUGGACAAUGGGCGCAAGCCUGAUCCAGCAAUGCCGCGUGUGUGAAGAAGGCCUGAGGGUUGUAAAGCACUUUCAAUUGUGAAGAAGGGUUUAAGUUUAAUAGACUUGAACAUUGACGUUAACAAUAGAAGAAGCACCGGCUAACUCUGUGCCAGCAGCCGCGGUAAUACAGAGGGUGCCAGCGUUAAUCGGAAUUACUGGGCGUAAAGCGCGCGUAGGUGGUUUGAUAAGUUGGAUGUGAAAUCCCCGGGCUUAACCUGGGUCGGUCAUUCAAAACUGUCAGACUAGAGUAUGGUAGAGGGUAGUGGAAUUUCUAGUGUAGCGGUGAAAUGCGUAGAUAUUAGAAGGAACACCAGUGGCGAAGGCGACUGCCUGGACUGAUACUGACACUGAGGUGCGAAAGCGUGGGUAGCGAACAGGAUUAGAUACCCUGGUAAGUCCACGCCGUAAACGAUGUCAACUAGACGUUAGGCUCCUUAGAGGGCUUAGUGUCGAAGCUAACGCGAUAAGGUUGACCGCCUGGGGAGUGGUCACACG
rnacentral:rRNA from 1 species